AGUUUAAUUUACUCCAAAAAAAUUCAAAUCACUUCUCCAAAAAUUAAACCCUUCCCCCAAAACCAUCCUAUCCUUCCUUCACCUCCAUUCAUCCCCGAUCUCCUCCCUCAGUCACUCUCACACACGUUUCUCCAAAACCCUAAUAAUCUCAUUAUUAUAAACAACGAUAAUAGCUGGAUCUCAUAAUUCAUCUUUUGAUUAAUUGUUAUAAUUAUACUUAUAAUAACUAGGGCUCAAAUCAAUCAAAAUUUUUUAUAUAUUUCAAUUUUAAUUUAGGGCUCCGAUGUUCUUCACGCACAAUUUCCUUCCCUUGUUUUCACUCCUGUUGCUUUUCAUAGCAGCCAGGUCAUAUGGAUCUCCUGUUGGGAAUCGUAAAACUGGGAAGUCAUCAGUAUUUUUGUUGUUUAAUCUCAAAGAGAGGAGUAAGUUCUAGAGUGAAUAUGUCAUACGCAGUGGUAUGCAUGUCUCUUUUCUCUUCUAUUAUCGCUUUAUCGUUUUGUUUCUGUCUGCUGCCCCUGUUCCACCUAGUAAAGGAUUUUGUUCUACGCCAACUUUGUUUCUCUAGCUAUUUCCUUUAAUAUCUUGUAAAAUUAGAGAUUUGAAAUACCUUUUAAAAAUCAAUGAGAAAUAAUGAGAUAGUUGUUGUUUUUGUUGUUA